CCCUUAGAUGUUCUGGGCUGCACGCGUGCUACACUGAUAUUGCCAAUAAGUCAUUCUUAUCCGAAAUGGAUUGGGUAAUCAAGUAAUGAAAUUUCAUGCUUGGAAUCGGUAAUUGCAAUUUUAUCGUGAACGAGGAAUUCCUAGUAAGCACUAGUCAUCAGCUAAUGUUGAUUAUGUCCCUGCCCUUUGUACACACCGCCCGUCGCUACUACUGAUUGGGUGUUCAAGUGAGAUGCUUAGACCCUUGUUGCAUGGUUCAUUAUUGUGCUCCGAAAGGAAAAAGUUUCAAGCUUGAGUGUCUAGAGGAAGUAAAAGUCGUAACA
rnacentral:rRNA from 1 species